rnacentral:lncRNA from 1 species
ACACACUGAAGUUCUACAGAGCCUGUGACACACAUCUUUACUCCUCUGGCUUUGAGAAGAUUAUAGAGAGAGAGAGGUUGAGUGUUUCAGCUACUGCUGGAGAAACGUAGGGAUUUUAGCCUUUUAGCCACAGCCCUGGGCACAGAGACAGCUUCUAGAAGCUGCUCUCAGUCCUUGGCUCAAGGACCCUCUCUUCCUUCUUCAAAGCCAACAGUGUUAUAUCUCUUCAAUCCUGCUUCUGUAAGGAGAUCAACCUUUAAUCACAGCCAGGUUGCUGACCUGAAGCCAUCCAUGCAAACGGCAGCUUUCAAGGAGCUGUGGCCCUGGUGCUCAGGGCCCCCAGUGGCUGGCCAUACUCCAUUGUGAACCACCGGUAAAUGCUCAAAACUUUUGCUCCAUUCCCAGGGGACCCUCCCAUUAAAAUGAUUUUGCAUUCACUACCUGCCAACAGGACCUGUAAGCGAGCCAAAAGGAGUAGCAGAUUAAGCAUAAUUAUGAAUUCUGAAUGGAAUGGAGUAGUUGGAGAUUGUUUUCCAUGAAAGACCUAUUUUUUUCCUACUGAAAAUUCACAUAAGGAAGUAUUGAAUACUCUGUGAAGUCUUUAUAUUUAAACGUGCCCCUUGCAAUUAAUGCUUCUCCCUGCGCUUUCAUGACACAGAGAGAAAACCUCCCAAACUUGAAAGCUGUUCUUAGAAUUAGUUUUGGGUUUGCUCAAGAUUUGUAUCUAAUCAGCAUUGAAUUUUCUAGAUAAGUAUUUUAACAUUUAUUAACAAGAAUCGGUACCAAAUGCAUUUCCCAGGCUUAGUUGUCAAUGGAUGGAUAAUCCCUCAGGAUUUAAAAACCUGCACAACUGAGUAAGGAUUCAAAGACUUCUUGCAGGCAUUUCUUGAGUGUUUAAUGUGUCCUCAUCAGGAAAAAGUCAGUUGUACCAUUUAUUCGUUUGUCUUUUCUUUUUCACAAAUAGAAAAAGGAAAAUCCAAGAUGCUGAACAUAAAAAUAUUGCCCUGCCUGAAGACACAUCAGUUUACUACCAUGAAUGGGACAACUUUUCCUGAUUUGAUAUAAAAUUACUAACAAAACUCACCAUUGUUUUUCUCAGGUUGGCCCUAUCUUUUUCCCUCUUCUAAAUAUCUGUACCUACAUGUAGGAGCAGCAUUCAUGAUUUAUUUAUGUCUGUCUAAAUAUGCUACUUAUCUUUCCUAAAGUGUGUUAUCAACUAUCAAAUACCGUUAAAAAAGUAAGAUCAGAAGUUGUGUGAAUUCAAGAGUUCCUAUUGUGGCUCAGAGGGUUAAGAAUCCAGCUAGUGCUCUUAGGAUGUAGGCUUGAUCCUUGGCCAUGCUCAGUGGGUUAAAGGAUCUGGCUUUCCCGUGAGCCAUAGUGUAGGCUGCAGAAGUGGCUCGGAUUCUGUGUUGCUGUUGCUGUGGCGUAGGCCGGCAGCUGCAUCUCCAAUUCAGCCCCUAACCCAGGAAUUUCUGGAUGCUGGGGGUGCAGCCCUAAAAAGACAAAAAAAUAAAACAAACAAAAAACCCAAAAAAAGUUUUGGGAAUUCAAGUAAAAAUAUUGAAUUUUUUAGCAAGCCUAACAGAAAGCUGGAAAAUGAUAAUGAUAAUUAUACAACAAUAACACUCAUCUCAGCUGGAUAUUACCAUGGAUGUACAAUGUGUCAGACACCAAGUUUUCCACACCUAUUAUCUCUGAAAUCAUCAUCAACCUGUAUGGGAGAUACUGCUAUUAUCUUUAUAGAUAAAGAAACUGAAGCCUAGGGAGUUUAAGUUAGUUUUCUAAGAAUGAGAAGCAGUUUUUGGCCAGAGGCUGAAAUUUGAAUCCUGACAUACAUAUGUUCCAUGGAUACUAAAUAUAUAUAUUUUUAAAAAGUGUUUAAUUGCUUUCAGAGUAAGCUUAUAGAACAUGAAAAGUCAGUCUCAUGUCUUUCUAAUCAUCUUUAUAAAAAACUCUCUGGUUUCUUACAUUCUUGAAGAUUAUUUAAAUUUAUCCAUUUUAUGUGGUUUAAAGGCAACAAAUGCAUUUUGUUAAAAGAAAACAUAAAUAUUUAUUUUAAGCUGCACAGAGCCCAAAGCCCAGUCGAGUUAAAUUUUCACUUUUAUUCAAUUGCAUAUUUGAGAGAGAAAAAUAAAACUUACUUUUAUUUAUCAUGUUAAAUCAUUGAUAUGGUACAUUAAUAAUUAAUAAAACUUUUUUUGAUUGUUGACAAAAUUAUGUUUAACAAUUUUUGUUAUUUUUAUAAAAAUAUUUACUGAAGAAAUUUAUGUAAGAUAAGAACAAAAUACAGGAAGAUGUAUUCUGCCCUCAUGUAAUCCAUCAGUGCCUCCUCAUAAAUCCAACACCCCAUAGAAUUAAUAGUUCAUGUUUUUAACAAUGAUGGAAGUAUUUUUUUUUUUUUUGCAAGACAAUUAUAUUGCUUCCUUGCUUGCUGAUAUUUGGUUAUUUAAGUGGGUAAAAACAGUAUAUACUCAAUCCUACAUUUAUGCUGAGUACUUAUUAAAUGCAAGAACCCUUAUUUGUCCAAAUUUUGUUACUGUUCUUAAACUGCAAAAAA